AUUAAAUGCUCGAUAUUCCAUGUUGAAACCUUAUCAGGUAAAAAUGAAGGACCUGACAAAGUUUCACCAUGGGACAUCGAGCAUUUAAU